rnacentral:misc_RNA from 1 species
GAUGAAGUACGCAGCGAAAUGCGAUAAGUAGUGUGAAUUGCAGAAUUCAGUGAAUCAUCGAAUCUUUGAACGCACAUUGCGCCCCUUGGUAUUCCAUGGGGCAUGCCUGUUCGAGCGUCAUUUGUACCUUCAAGCUUUGCUUGGUGUUGGGUGUUUGUCUCGCCUUUGCGUGUAGACUCGCCUUAAAAUAAUUGGCAGCCGGCGUAUUGAUUUCGGAGCGCAGUACAUCUCGCGCUUUGCACUCAUAACGACAGCGUCCAAAAGUACAUUUUACACUCUUGACCUCGGAUCAGGUAGGGAUACCCGCUGAACUUAAGCAUAUCAAUAAGCGGAGGA